CGAAGCGAAAGAGGGCAGGCACUCGAAGAGGGUCUCGCUAAGCUUCAGACAACAUCCCACUUGGUGUGUGAAGCACCGCGAAAGCGCGACGUCGAGUUCGUGGCCUCAGCCGCCGCCGCCGCCGCCGCCGCCGCCGCCGCCGCCUCCACACCCCACAGCCGGGUCUGUCAUGGCGCUGCCGUAGGCGCAAAGCCUGAUGCUGCAAACGCAGCUGGUGGAAUGGAACCCGUGCAGCCGCAGGCGUCGGAGAUGGGCGCCGCGCUGCAGGCCAUGUCGUCGGACUAGCGGGAGGCGGACCAUGCCGCCGUCUCCUGUCGUGCCGUUGCCUCAGCCCCCUCCAUCGCACCGGUUCCUUAGCUCGGCGGCGGUGGUUGCGAUCCCGCGGGCACGAGAUGUGACGGACCUGGUGACCGAGCUCGGCCACGGCGAGCUCCGGAGUGGCCCUUCUAUGUUCAUCAGAGCCACCUCCCACGGUCCUUCGCGGCUCUGAAUACAGAGGUGAGAAAUCAAAUCAAUCGAGCAGCGCUCCGGCGAUAUGCUCCUGUACAUGUUCUGAUCUGCCUGUCUUCGUUCGUGUGUGGAGUGACCAUGCUGGACUCGGCGACUGGGGCGCUGGAGCUUCUGGCCUUCUGGGCUUCGGUUUACACUGAAUAUGAUCAUCACUGACACCUGCUUGGUACUCUCCGCCUUGUCAUUCUGCUUGCUUCCGGCUAAACCUCGGCUCAUCCAUCGCGCAUACCUCUGCAUGCCCCAUGGCCUCGUCCUCAUCAGGAGCAGACAAAGGAAUAAGAGUAUACCCAUGGGUGACACACUACUCAGGCAGCUUGGUAGUGAAUUCUAUGAUUCAACAGUAGUUGUGCGGGUACCCAGGUUAUGGUGGAUCAACAGGGAGCUACUAUGGAAGAAGCCAUCCCGUGUCACCGAUUUAACAAAUUCAAAAACACACUAAAAGAAGGUUCUAUCUAUUGCAUUCGGAAUUUCAACUUCUAAGCUGCUACGAUGGUUUACAUGGCAGUGGAUUAUCCAAAGAGAAUUUUAUUUACCGAAAGGACAACCGCUACAGAAACCAAGCUCCGGCUAGAGAGCACACCCCCUUUUACAGUCUUGACACCGCGAAUGGAUCAGAACGCGUAAAUAUGUUCAUGAUUAUAAAUACAAAUACGUUGUAUUACUGAAAAUGGAGGCAUCAACCCAGUCAUGACAAUUCUUGAUUUGCAGAUGUUGGAUUUAGUAACAUCAGUCACUGAAGUAUUGCCCCCAGCUGGAGCGCAUCACCAACAGAGGAGACAUAUAUACAUUACAGAUGGAAAGUAGGUACUGUCAGCUACUUCAAGUAGUAAUAAAUACGGGUCGAACAUAUCAACAGACUGAAGCAUAGUUCACUGUGCGGUUGUUUACAGCCAGCCUGCUGUUCUUACCUUAUGGGGACAACAGGCCGAUAUGUUUGAUGCAAGGGGCUUCAGGCCGACUCUGCUAGGACAGCAGAUUUUCCUAAUGCGUUUGACAAAAGGAUUUACAGAUUACACAACGGUGGAUCACCCAUUGAGAGUUUGCUUUGCACAGAGAACGUUGGCCAUAGGAGUGCGACCUCAGAAGGAAAAUUUCCCCAUGUUCAGGUCAUAGUAGCCUGGUUCGCGGGUCGAUGGUGCGAUCCCCGUCCCGUGGUCGAUCGACCCCGAUCGAGGGUCGGGGACGACGGCGGGUCGAGCUGGAUCGAUUGCCGGAUCACGACCCCGAUCGAUGGACACUGACCCCAAUUUGAUAUGCAGGAUUACAGGAAGCCAGAAUGCAAGAUUGCCAGAAACAUAUAGGAGUUCAUGGGGAUUUGAUGCUUACCAGGCAAUC